rnacentral:other from 1 species
UGGGCGGUGAACAAACGCUGGCCUGGCGGAUCGCAGCGGCCCUCGGAGACUGCGAGGGAACCGGGAGCCGCUGGGACCCCGGCUGCGCGCCUCUCGGCCCAGCCGGGAGCCGCUCCAGUCGGAGCCCCGGGCCGAGCGCGGUUCGCCUCCCUCUCAGCAUUCAUCUGUCCGCAGUGUAGCCAGCGGGCAUGACCGAUCCACCGGGGGCGCCGCCGCCGGCGCUUGCAGGCCGCGGGUGAAGAAGAAAGUCCGUCCCCGCUCUGCUCAGAGCGAGAAGGUGGCUCACAGCAGGGAGUUGACCAGGGGUAAGAAAGUGACCCGCAGCAAGAAAGUGGCCGGAACCCAGGAGGUGCCCCAGGUGGAGGAGGUG